rnacentral:rRNA from 1 species
AGAGUUUGAUCAUGGCUCAGAGCGAACGCUGGCGGCAGGCCUAAUACAUGCAAGUCGAGCGCACCUUCGGGUGAGCGGCGGACGGGUGAGUAACGCGUGGGAACGUGCCCUUUGGUACGGAACAACUGAGGGAAACUUCAGCUAAUACCGUAUGUGCCCUUCGGGGGAAAGAUUUAUCGCCAUUGGAGCGGCCCGCGUUGGAUUAGGUAGUUGGUGAGGUAAAGGCUCACCAAGCCUACGAUCCAUAGCUGGUCUGAGAGGAUGAUCAGCCACACUGGGACUGAGACACGGCCCAGACUCCUACGGGAGGCAGCAGUAGGGAAUCUUGCGCAAUGGGCGAAAGCCUGACGCAGCCAUGCCGCGUGAAUGAUGAAGGUCUUAGGAUUGUAAAAUUCUUUCACCGGGGAAGAUAAUGACGGUACCCGGAGAAGAAGCCCCGGCUAACUUCGUGCCAGCAGCCGCGGUAAUACGAAGGGGGCUAGCGUUGCUCGGAAUUACUGGGCGUAAAGGGCGCGUAGGCGGAUAUUUAAGUUGGGGGUGAAAUCCCGGGGCUCAACCUCGGAAUUGCCUUCAAAACUGGAUAUCUUGAGUUCGGGAGAGGUGAGUGGAACUCCGAGUGUAGAGGUGAAAUUCGUAGAUAUUCGGAAGAACACCAGUGGCGAAGGCGACUCACUGGCCCGAUACUGACGCUGAGGCGCGAAAGCGUGGGGAGCAAACAGGAUUAGAUACCCUAGUAGUCC